CAGCGGGCUAAAGUCCCGUCCGGGGAAUUGUCUGUGCACCCCGGUAGCACAGGGAAGCGGCGUCGGAGUAAUCAGGGGUCGUAAGUUUCCCGAUGGCAAAGCCGCAGGCCGUAACACAA
rfam:Freshwater sediment metagenome lwFormaldehyde_BCIB2415_b1, whole genome shotgun sequence.